CGCACGGGUGAGUAACACGUAUGGAACCUGCCCUAUGCAGGGGGAUAAGCGGAGGAAAUUCCGUCUAAUACCGCAUAACACCUUUAGGAGACAUCUUCUUGGGGUCAAAGGAGGCGACUCCGGCAUAGGAUGGCCAUGCGUCGCAUUAGCUAGUCGGCGGGGUAACGGCCCACCGAGGCGACGAUGCGUAGGGGUUCUGAGAGGAAGGUCCCCCACACUGGUACUGAGACACGGACCAGACUCCUACGGAAGGCAGCAG
rnacentral:rRNA from 1 species